GGAAGUGACUGUUCCCUGGAGAAAACCAGAACCACAAAUACCCCUCCCACUGCUGGCUGCCAGGCAGGAUGCUGAGGACAUCGGAGGUCAGAGGACCCAGAGGAAAGCCACCAGGGGUAACUGUCUGCAUGGCCUCCUCAUAAAUCUGGCUCCAAGAAGGUCUUCUGUAAAGUUGCCAUUAAACAUUACCAUCCAUGGAGACUGUGGUCCAGAUGGUUUCAGAAUACCUAAAGAAUUCUUUCCUAAUCUUUGACGUUGACUAACCCUAACCAGAAUCUGAGGAGUGUCUGGGUAAGUUUUCCCUGGACCUGUGUGCUUUUUAAUUUUGCAUGUUAUGGCUUUCUGAUAUCUUUGAUGAGUUCUCUGCUUUAAGGACACCAAUUACCUUUCUUUUGGAUUGUUUUUUUUGGUCUUUCCUUCAUUAUUGUUAGCUUUCCUCUGCUAGCUUUGACCUUUUUUAUUUAUGAUCAUUGUGCUACCUCAGGGUUUUUUUUCCCCCUUGCCAGUUGGGUGAAUCUCAGCCUUAUCAAUUCUGUGCCUUCUCUCCAUUUUAUCUGUUAGACCUCUAUUGCAUGGC